AUUGAACGCUGGCGGCAUGCCUUACACAUGCAAGUCGAACGGUAACAGGUUAAGCUGACGAGUGGCGAACGGGUGAGUAAUGUAUCGGAACGUGCCCAGUUGUGGGGGAUAACUGCUCGAAAGAGCAGCUAAUACCGCAUACGACCUGAGGGUGAAAGCGGGGGAUCGCAAGACCUCGCGCAAUUGGAGCGGCCGAUAUAAGAUAGGUAGGUGGUGGGGUAAAGGCUCACCAAGCCGACGAUCUGUAGCUGGCCUGAGAGGACGACCAGCCACACUGGGACUGGGACACGGCCCAGACUCCUACGGGAGGCAGCAGUGGGGAAUUUUGGACAAUGGGCGCAAGCCUGAUCCAGCCAUGCCGCGUGCGGGAAGAAGGCCUUCGGGUUGUAAACCGCUUUUGUCAGGGAAGAAACGCUCUGGGUUAAUACCCCGGGGUAAUGACGGUACCUGAAGAAUAAGCACCGGCUAACUACGUGCCAGCAGCAGCCGCCG
rnacentral:rRNA from 1 species